UACGUAGGGGGCAAGCGUUGUCCGGAAUUAUUGGGCGUAAAGCGCGUGUAGGCGGUCCGGUAAGUCCGCUGUGAAAGUCGGGGGCUCAACCCUCGGAUGCCGGUGGAUACUGUCGGGCUUGAGUACGGAAGAGGCGAGUGGAAUUCCUGGUGUAGCGGUGGAAUGCGCAGAUAUCAGGAGGAACACCAAUAGCGAAGGCAGCUCGCUGGGACGGUACUGACGCUGAGGCGCGAAAGCGUGGGGAGCGAACAGG
rnacentral:rRNA from 1 species